rnacentral:rRNA from 1 species
UGAGCAAUCUGCCCUUCUCUUCGGAAUAAGCGUUGGAAACGACGUCUAAUGCCGAAUACGACCUCCUUUCGCAUGAUCGGAGGUGGAAAGCUCCGGCGGAGAAGGAUGAGCUCGCGGCCUAUCAGCUAGUUGGUGUGGGUAAUGGCCCACAAGGCGACGACGGGUAGCCGGCCUGAGAGGGCGACCGGCCACACUGGGACUGAGACACGGCCCAGACCUCCGUACGGGGAGCAGCAGG